rnacentral:rRNA from 1 species
AGUGAACGCUGGCGGUAGGCCUAACACAUGCAAGUCGAACGGCAGCACAGUAAGAGCUUGCUCUUACGGGUGGCGAGUGGCGGACGGGUGAGGAAUACAUCGGAAUCUACUUUUUCGUGGGGGAUAACGUAGGGAAACUUACGCUAAUACCGCAUACGACCUACGGGUGAAAGCAGGGGAUCUUCGGACCUUGCGCGAUUGAAUGAGCCGAUGUCGGAUUAGCUAGUUGGCGGGGUAAAGGCCCACCAAGGCGACGAUCCGUAGCUGGUCUGAGAGGAUGAUCAGCCACACUUGAACUGAGACAAGGUACAGACUCCUACGGGAGGCAGCAGUGGGGAAUAUUGGACAAUGGGCGCAAGCCUGAUCCAGCCAUACCGCGUGGGUGAAGAAGGCCUUCGGGUUGUAAAGCCCUUUUGUUGGGAAAGAAAAGCAGCAGGUUAAUACCCCGCUGUUCUGACGGUACCCAAAGAAUAAGCACCGGCUAACUUCGUG